AUUGAACGCUGGCGGCAUGCUUUAUACAUGCAAGUCGUGCGGCAGCGCGGGGGCAACUCUGGCGGCGAGCGGCGAACGGGUGAGUAAUACAUAGGAACGUAUCCUGAAAUGGGGGAUAGCUCGGCGAAAGCCGGAUUAAUACCGCAUACGCUCCACGGAGGAAAGCAGGGGAUCGCAAGACCUUGCGUUUCUGGAGCGGCCUAUGUCUGAUUAGCAGUUGGCGGGGUAAUAGCCCACCAAGGCGACGAUCAGUAGCUGGUCUGAGAGGAUGAUCAGCCACACUGGGACUGAGACACGGCCCAGACUCC
rnacentral:rRNA from 1 species